rnacentral:rRNA from 1 species
ACUCAAAGGAAUUGACGGGGGCCCGCACAAGCGGCGGAGCAUGUUGCUUAAUUCGAGGCAACGCGAAGAACCUUACCUGGGUUGAACUACGUGGGAAAAGCCGCAGAGAUGCGGUGUCCUUCGGGGUCCACGAUAGGUGGUGCAUGGCUGUCGUCAGCUCGUGUCGUGAGAUGUUGGGUUAAGUCCCGCAACGAGCGCAACCCUUGUCCUAUGUUGCCAGCGGGUAAAGCCGGGGACUCGUAGGAGACUGCCGGGGUCAACUCGGAGGAAGGUGGGGACGACGUCAAGUCAUCAUGCCCCUUAUGUCCAGGGCUGCAAACAUGCUACAAUGGCCGGUACAAAGGGCAGCUAAACCGCGAGGUCAAGCGAAUCCCAAAAAGCCGGUCUCAGUUCGGAUUGAAGUCUGCAACUCGACUUCAUGAAGCUGGAGUCGCUAGUAAUCCCGGAUCAGCAACGCCGGGGUGAAUACGUUCCCGGGCCUUGUACACACCGCCCGU